AUACUGCUGAAGAGUCCCAAACCAGGACGAAACAGCUGUCCAGUAC
rnacentral:hammerhead_ribozyme from 1 species